AGUGAACGCUGGCGGUAGGCCUAACACAUGCAAGUCGAACGGCAGCACAGUAAGAGCUUGCUCUUACGGGUGGCGAGUGGCGGACGGGUGAGGAAUACAUCGGAAUCUACUUUUUCGUGGGGGAUAACGUAGGGAAACUUACGCUAAUACCGCAUACGACCUACGGGUGAAAGCAGGGGAUCUUCGGACCUUGCGCGAUUGAAUGAGCCGAUGUCGGAUUAGCUAGUUGGCGGGGUAAAGGCCCACCAAGGCGACGAUCCGUAGCUGGUCUGAGAGGAUGAUCAGCCACACUGGAACUGAAACACGGUCCAGACUCCUACGGGAGGCAGCAGUGGGGAAUAUUGGACAAUGGGCGCAAGCCUGAUCCAGCCAUACCGCGUGGGUGAAGGAGGCCUUCGGGUUGUAAAGCCCUUUUGUUGGGAAAGAAAAGCAGCAGGUUAAUACCCCGCUGUUCUGACGGUACCCAAAGAAUAAGCACCGGCUAACUUCGUG
rnacentral:rRNA from 1 species